rnacentral:rRNA from 1 species
UACGUAGGGUGCGAGCGUUACUCGGAAUUACUGGGCGUAAAGCGUGCGCAGGCGGUUUUGUAAGCCAGAUGUGAAAUCCCCGGGCUCAACCUGGGAAUGGCAUUUGGGACUGCAAGGCUGGAGUACGGCAGAGGAGACUGGAAUUCCUGGUGUAGCAGUGAAAUGCGUAGAUAUCAGGAGGAAUACCGAUGGCGAAGGCAGGUCUCUGGGCUGAUACUGACGCUCAUGCACGAAAGCGUGGGGAGCAAACAGG